GGCUAUGCCUCUUCGAAAUGCCA
rnacentral:siRNA from 1 species